AUGAGGCCACCGGACAUGUAUGACCAUGGCGGCAGCUCGUCGUCCCGGCCGCGCGGCAAGGAGGAGCUGCAGCCGGAGGUGGUUCUCUACACGGCGUCAUCAGCUUCAGCGUCGCGCCGCAGAGCGCGCACCUCCGCCGGCCGCUACGCCUUGCGCGCGCUGCUGCAUGGCUACGGCCUGGCCGUGGACGAGCGCGACGUGUCCAGGAGCAAAGCGCAGCGCUGCGAGCUCAAGUCGUUGCUCGCGGCUCGGGGCUGCGCCUUCUCCCUCCCGCAGCUCCUCGUGGGCGGCCGGCUCGUCGGCGGCCCUGAGGAUGUUAGGCAGCUGCACCGGGCCGGCAGGCUGCGGCCUCUCCUGGACGCCGCCCCAAGGCCGAGCCCGGCCUUGGUCUGCCAAGCCUGUAAGAGGGUCGGCUCCGAACCCUGUGAAGACUGCAGCGACUCCCGCAACAAGAUGAUGGAUCAUGGCAUUCUUGAGAAGGAGGAUGAGCAGGAGAGGGUUGUCCUGUUUUAUCCAACCCAAGAUGUUUCAAUGGGAGGUAGAGGCAGAGAGGUGGAUACCAGUUUCAGUGUUUCUCUGGGCGCCAUGAGACCCCUUCUUAAGAAGCUUGACAUGAUGCUAGGUCCUCAUGGAUGCAAGCUGACCAAGGGGGUCAAUGAUAGGUCGCAACUCCUCCAAGAUGAUCUUGAAGAAAUAGCCGCAUACCUUGAAGAUCUCUUAGAGGUGGAGGACCCUCCCUUGGCAGCCAAGUGUUGGAUGAAAGAGGCACAUGAGUUAUCUUAUGACAUCCUAGAUUGUAUUGACAACUUUGUGCCCCCUGAUCAGUCUCUUGGCUACAAAUCUGACCACAAGAUGACUCAUGUUAAGAUUUCAAAGAGGCUCAAGUGGCAGAAACAGAUUGAAUAUGCAGCUCUUGAUGUGUCAGGACAUGUAAUCUCCAAAACCAUCCGUGUUGAUGUAAUUUGUGCUCCCAGGAGGCUCAAGUGGUACCAGCAGAUUGUUGAAAAGGUAUCAGAAUUCAGGAUUUAUGCCCAGGAGGUGGUUCGACGGUAUGACAGAUACCAGGUCCACUGUUAUAGCACCUCGGUGGCAAGUAGAUUUUCGGCCAUUGGGCCUAUGAUGCCAAUGCCGCCACAGCCUUGUGAGAAAACUUGUUCCGGACUAGUAAUUGAUGGUCGGAUGAGCAAGUUUAUCAACUCCCAGCUGGCUAAUGAUGAGAAUCGGCAGCUCAGGGUGGUGUCUAUUCACGGAUCUGGAUGUCUUGGUAAAACAAUGCUUGCCAAAGUGUUGUAUAAUAAAUUGGGGAGGCAAUUCCAUUAG
rnacentral:rRNA from 1 species